rnacentral:misc_RNA from 1 species
GAUGAAGAACGUAGCGAAAUGCGAUAGUAGUGUGAAUUGCAGAAUUCAGUGAAUCAUCGAAUCUUUGAACGCACAUUGCGCCCCUUGGUAUUCCAUGGGGCAUGCCUGUUCGAGCGUCAUUUGUACCUUCAAGCUCUGCUUGGUGUUGGGUGUUUGUCUCGCCUCUGCGUGUAGACUCGCCUCAAAACAAUUGGCAGCCGGCGUAUUGAUUUCGGAGCGCAGUACAUCUCGCGCUUUGCACUCAUAACGACGACGUCCAAAAGUACAUUUUUACACUCUUGACCUCGGAUCAGGUAGGGAUACCCGCUGAACUUAAGCAUAUCAAUAAGCGGAGGA